rnacentral:rRNA from 1 species
UUUAGUACAAUUGCCUUGAGUUGAUAUGGCUCAGGACGAACGCUGGCGGCGUGCUUAACACAUGCAAGUCACGGGGGCUGGGCAACCAGCAACCGGCGAACGGGUGCGUAACACGUGAGCGACCUGCCUCUCCGCGGGGGAUAGCCGGCCCAACGGCCGGGUAAUACCGCAUACGCGGCAGUUGACCCAUGUCGACUGCCGGAAACCUCCGGGGCGGAGAGAGGGGCUCGCGGCCUAUCAGCUCGUUGGCGGGGUAACGGCCCACCAAGGCGACGACGGGUAGCUGGUCUGAGAGGAUGGCCAGCCACAUUGGGACUGAGAGACGGCCCAGACUCCUACGGGAGGCAGCAGUGGGGAAUCUUGCGCAAUGGCCUGACGGCUGACGCAGCGACGCCGCGUGUGGGAGGACGCCCCUCGGGGUGUAAACCACUGUUGCCCGGGACGAACAGCUUGAUUCGUCAAGCCUGACGGUACCGGGUGAGGAAGCACCGGCUAACUCCGUGCCAGCAGCCGCGGUAAUACGGAGGGUGCGAGCGUUGUCCGGAAUCACUGGGCGUAAAGGGCGCGUAGGCGGCGCGGUAAGCGUGCGGUGAAAGCCCGGGGCUCAACCCCGGGUCGGCCGUGCGGACUGCCGGGCUCGAGCACUGUAGAGGCGGGUGGAAUUCCGGGUGUAGCGGUGGAAUGCGUAGAGAUCCGGAAGAACACCGGUGGCGAAGGCNGCCCGCUGGGCAGUGGCUGACGCUGA